rnacentral:rRNA from 1 species
CAGUAGCCACGGUAAUACGGAGGAUCCGAGCGUUAUCCGGAAUUAUUGGGUUUAAAGGGUGCGUAGGCGGAUAGAUAAGUCAGUGGUGAAAGACGGUGGCUCAACCAUCGCAGUGCCGUUGAUACUGUUUAUCUUGAAUAUGGAUGAGGUAGGCGGAAUGUGGCAAGUAGCGGUGAAAUGCAUAGAUAUGCCACAGAACACCGAUUGCGAAGGCAGCUUACCAAGGCAAAAUUGACGCUGAGGCACGAAAGCGUGGGGAUCGAACAGGAUUAGAUACCCGCGUAGUCCCUGUCUCUUAUAC